GCCCGGAUGGUGGAAUCGGUAGACACCAAGGGAUUUAAAAUCCCUCGGCGUUCGCGCUGUGCGGGUUCAAGUCCCGCUCCGGGUACCA
rnacentral:tRNA from 1 species